rnacentral:rRNA from 1 species
GAUGAACGCUGGCGGCGUGCCUAAUACAUGCAAGUCGAGCGAACGGACGAGAAGCUUGCUUCUCUGAUGUUAGCGGCGGACGGGUGAGUAACACGUGGAUAACCUACCUAUAAGACUGGGAUAACUUCGGGAAACCGGAGCUAAUACCGGAUAAUAUUUUGAACCGCAUGGUUCAAAAGUGAAAGACGGUCUUGCUGUCACUUAUAGAUGGAUCCGCGCUGCAUUAGCUAGUUGGUAAGGUAACGGCUUACCAAGGCAACGAUGCAUAGCCGACCUGAGAGGGUGAUAGGCCACACUGGAACCGAGACACGGUCCAGACUCCUACGGGAGGCAGCAGUAGGGAAUCUUCCGCAAUGGGCGAAAGCCUGACGGAGCAACGCCGCGUGAGUGAUGAAGGUCUUCGGAUCGUAAAACUCUGUUAUUAGGGAAGAACAUAUGUGUAAGUAACUGUGCACAUCUUGACGGUACCUAAUCAGAAAGCCACGGCUAACUACGUG